UGGCCCAAUGGCGCGGUGGCGCAGGGUUUUUCGGCGGAAGACCCCGAGAGCCUGCGCGGCCCCCAGUUCGAGGCCGCCUGGCUCGA
rnacentral:tRNA from 1 species